UGCCCUCUCUGAAUUUUAGUUCGAGUUGUA
rnacentral:piRNA from 1 species